UGGGGAAUCUUGGACAAUGGGCGCAAGCCUGAUCCAGCCAUGCCGCGUGAGUGAUGAAGGCUUUAGGGUUGUAAAGCUCUUUUGCCGGGGACGAUAAUGACGGUACCCGGAGAAUAAGUCCCGGCUAACUUCGUGCCAGCAGCCGCGGUAAUACGAAGGGAGCUAGCGUUGUUCGGAUUUACUGGGCGUAAGGCGCGUGUAGGCGGGUCGUUAAGUUGGGGGUGAAAUCCCGAGGCUCAACCUCGGAACUGCCUUCAAAACUGGCGACCUGGACUCAAGCAGAGGCAAGUGGAAUUGCGAGUGUAGAGGUGAAAUUCGUAGAUAUUCGCAGGAACACCAGUGGCGAAGGCGACUUGCUGGGCUUGUAGUGACGCUGAGACGCGAAAGCGUGGGGAGCAAACAGGAUUAGAUACCCCUGUAGUCCCUGAGCGGGCUGGCAAGGCGCAU
rnacentral:rRNA from 1 species